rnacentral:rRNA from 1 species
ACGAGUGGCGGACGGGUGAGUAAUGUCUGGGAAACUGCCUGAUGGAGGGGGAUAACUACUGGAAACGGUAGCUAAUACCGCAUAACGUCGCAAGACCAAAGAGGGGGACCUUCGGGCCUCUUGCCAUCGGAUGUGCCCAGAUGGGAUUAGCUAGUAGGUGGGGUAACGGCUCACCUAGGCGACGAUCCCUAGCUGGUCUGAGAGGAUGACCAGCCACACUGGAACUGAGACACGGUCCAGACUCCUACGGGAGGCAGCAGUGGGGAAUAUUGCACAAUGGGCGCAAGCCUGAUGCAGCCAUGCCGCGUGUAUGAAGAAGGCCUUCGGGUUGUAAAGUACUUUCAGCGGGGAGGAAGGGAGUAAAGUUAAUACCUUUGCUCAUUGACGUUACCCGCAGAAGAAGCACCGGCUAACUCCGUGCCAGCAGCCGCGGUAAUACGGAGGGUGCAAGCGUUAAUCGGAAUUACUGGGCGUAAAGCGCACGCAGGCGGUUUGUUAAGUCAGAUGUGAAAUCCCCGGGCUCAACCUGGGAACUGCAUCUGAUACUGGCAAGCUUGAGUCUCGUAGAGGGGGGUAGAAUU